GAUGAACGCUAGCGGCAGGCUUAACACAUGCAAGUCGAGGGGUAUAGUUCUUCGGAAUUAGAGACCGGCGCACGGGUGCGUAACGCGUAUGCAAUCUACCUUUCACAGAGGGAUAGCCCCAGAGAAAUUUGGAUUAAUACCUCAUAGUAUAGCAGUUUCGCAUGAAACCACUAUUAAAGUCACAACGGUGAAAGAUGAGCAUGCGUCCCAUUAGCUAAUUGGUAAGGUAACGGCUUACCAAGGCAACGAUGGGUAGGGGUCCUGAGAGGGAGAUCCCCCACACUGGUACUGAGACACGGACCAGACUCCUACGGGAGGCAGCAGUGAGGAAUAUUGGACAAUGGGCGCAAGCCUGAUCCAGCCAUGCCGCGUGCAGGAUGACGGUCCUAUGGAUUGUAAACUGCUUUUAUACAGGAAGAAACACUAC
rnacentral:rRNA from 1 species